rnacentral:rRNA from 1 species
CCUACGGGUGGCAGCAGUGGGGAAUAUUGGGCAAUGGAGGCAACUCUGACCCAGCAAUGCCGCGUGAAUGAAGAAGGUCUUCGGAUUGUAAAGCUCUUUAAUUGGGGACGAAAAAAAUGACGGUACCCAAGGAAUAAGCCCCGGCUAACUACGUGCCAGCAGGCGCGGUAAUACGGAGGGGGCAAGCGUUGUGCGGAAUGGCUGGGCGUAAAGGGUGUGUAGGCGGGGUAGCAAGUUAGAUGUGAAAUACCUAGGGCUUAACCCAGGUGCUGCUUCUAAAACUGAUAUACUUGAGUGCAGUAGAGGAAAGUGGAAUUCCUAGUGUAGCGGUGGAAUGCGUAGAUAUUAGGAGGAACAUCAGUGGCGAAGGCGACUUUCUGGACUGUAACUGACGCUGAGGCACGAAAGUGUGGGGAGCAAACAGGAUUAGAUACCCUGGUAGUC